GAUGCGGUCAGUCCGAAAUUUUUUCCGUCUCCUUCCACUAAGUUUCAAUUCUACUCGAUUUCUCAAUAAAUCUGGUCUGUUUGUGAUGAAUCUGAAGUUAUGUUAGUGAAGGCCUGUGUGAAUUUUGUGAAUUUGUCAAAGGAUUAAAGAAUGACGCAAAUUGCUACUGGAAAUGAAGACCAAUCACCGGCGCAAGCUGAAGAAAUGCCGACAUACAAGCAAGAGGAAGGGUUACUAGGAUUGGAAAAUAUAAUAAGCUUCAAAUUCAGAGAACUCCAUGUACCUACGAAUGGUUUUAGUUCUAAGAGCAUUAAUUAUUGGUGCUGGUGGUUUUGGUAAUGUCUACCGAGGAAAGCUUGGGGAUGGGACAAUGGUUGCAGUGAAACGACUCUCACGUAAGUUCUAUGCUUACUCUCUUGUAAACAACAAUGGUUGCUUUUGCUUGAUCAUAUUCUGGAAAUGAGAGGACUGAUUAGUAUUAUUUUGUAAUAUGAACAAGAGGAACUUACACACUUUAUAAAGAAUGAGUGCAGGAAAGGUCUGCAACUUUGGGUGAGUUUUGCUAUCUUACACACCUUAUAAAGAAUGAGUGCAGCAAAGGUCUCCAACUCUGUGUGAUUUUUGCUAUCUCACAUCUGUUUUUUUUUUUUUUUGUUGGUUAUUCCAUUUGAGAAACAAAGGAGAAAAUCAAUGUCCACUUCAUAGCCACGAAGGCACACUGUUGAAGUUCCCACUAUACUUAUAUUUUUCCCAUUAAUUAAAUAUAUAUAAUGUUUGUAAACUUGUUAUUAACGAGGAUUUAUACUGUGGAAAUAGGGCUCCAAGGAUUAAUCGACCGUGGGAGCAGAAGGGGCUGAAGCUGAUCACUGAUUUGCUGCUAUAGUUGUUCUUUGCUCACUUCUUUGUUCGUCAAAAAAAUUUCAAGAUAGCAAUGAUAAAGAUUGCAGAAGAAUCAAGUUCUUGUCCGUUUGUUCUGAACCUAACUUCUUCAAUAUCA